CCUACGGGUGGCAGCAGUGAGGAAUAUUGGUCAAUGGGCGCGAGUCUGAACCAGCCAAGUAGCGUGAAGGAUGACUGCCCUAUGGGUUGUAAACUUCUUUUAUAUGGGAAUAAAGUGUUCCACGUGUGCCAUUUUGUAUGUACUUUAUGAAUAAGUAUCGGCUAACUCCGUGCCAGCAGCCGCGGUAAUACGGAGGAUGCGAGCGUUAUCCGGAUUUAUUGGGUUUAAAGGGUGCGUAGGCGGUCCGUUAAGUCAGUGGGAAAAUUUCGGGGCUCAACCCCGUAGAGCCGUUGAUACUGGCAGUCUUGAGUAGGCGUGAGGUACGCGGAAUGCGUGGUGUAGCGGUGAAAUGCAUAGAUAUCGCGAAGAACUCCGAUUGCGAAGGCAGCUUAC
rnacentral:rRNA from 1 species